rnacentral:rRNA from 1 species
GCCAAUAGUCUAGCCCGCCUAAUUUAUAUACACCUGCAAUACCCCACCCCUCCCUCCCCAAAACAUUUUAUCUCUUUAGUAAAGGCGAUUGAAAAAUUUCUCGGCGCUUUAGAGCCAGUACCGCAAGGGAAUGAUGAAAUAAAAAUGAAAUAACCCUAAGCCCACUACAGCAGAGCCUAUGACUCGUACCUUUUGCAUCAUGGUCGAGCCAGUCAUAGUUAGACACAAUGUAAAUUCUAGCCUACCCCCCCGAAACUGAGUGAGCUACUUCAAAACAGCUUAUUGAGCCAACCUGUCUCUGUCGCAAAAGAGUAGGAAGAUUUUUAAGUAGCGGUGACAAGCCUACCGAACUCAGAGAUAGCUGGUUUCUCGAGAAAGGAAUCUUAGUUCCCCCUUAAAUUACACUUUUACCCCAAAAAUCAAAACAAAUUUAAGAGCCGUUCAAAUAAGGCACAGCUUAUUUGAAAAAGAACACAGCCUCCUAUACAGGGUAACAAGCAAACUUUCGCAAAGUGGGCCUAAAAGCAGCCAUCUUUUAAAAAGCGUUAAAGCUUCCCCGCACAUAACACUAAUACCCCUCCCAACCCUCAACCCUUAAUCACUACCGAGCAACUCCAUACUUUAUGGAAGAUAUUAUGCUUGAACUAGUAACAAGAAAUUGACUUUCUCCUUAAUGCAAGCCUAAAUCAUAAUGGACCCCCCACUGAUAAUUGACGCAGUUGAAAACCUAAAAGCAACACACCAAGAAAACCCUUUUUCCCGCCCCGUUAACCUUACACAAGUGCAUUCCAGGAAAGA